AGGACGAGCGCUGGCGGCGUGCUUAACACAUGCAAGUCGAGCGGAAAGGCCCUUCGGGGUACUCGAGCGGCGAACGGGUGAGUAACACGUGAGCAACCUGCCCUUAGCUCCGGGAUAGCUCCGGGAAACCGGAUUAAUACCGGAUACAACCACGGCCGACAUCUGCUGUGGUGGAAAGGAUUCCGGCUAAGGAUGGGCUCGCGGCCUAUCAGCUAGUUGGUGGAGUAACGGCCCACCAAGGCGACGACGGGUA
rnacentral:rRNA from 1 species